AGUAGAGGGAUCGGCCGCUUCCCUCCCCUGGUCCGUGAAUAGGCCCCUGCUAGGCCGCAGGUCAUUCCCCAACAAGAUCCGCCGGGCUUGGCCAGAGGAACACCUAGAACAGCCACCGAGGGGUCCAUCUGGUUACCAACCAGCGUUGGCUGGCUGAAGUCUGCAACUGUGGACCGCUAGUCUUCGAUUUAGGCAAGUUCUUUUAUUUUUAUUCCUCAGAGCUCUCGGGAUGUGUG